GCGUCGGUAGUGUAACGGCUCAGCACCAGCACCCCGAAUAAGGUGAAAUAUGGGUUCGAAUCCCAGCUGACGCA